GAUGAAGAACGCAGCGAAAUGCGAUAAGUAAUGCGAAUUGCAGAAUUUCCGUGAGUCAUCGAAUCUUUGAACGCACAUUGCGCCCGCCAGUAUUCUGGCGGGCAUGCCUGUUCGAGCGUCAUUACAACCCUCAGGCCCCCGGGCCUGGCGUUGGGGAUCGGCGGAGCCCCCCGUGGGCACACGCCGUCCCCCAAAUGCAGUGGCGGUCCCGCCGCAGCUUCCAUCGCGUAGUAGCUAACACCUCGCGACUGGAGAGCGGCGCGGCCACGCCGUAAAACACCCAACUCUUCUGAAGUUGACCUCGAAUCAGGUAGGAAUACCCGCUGAACUUAAGCAUAUCAAAAGCGGAGGA
rnacentral:misc_RNA from 1 species